UUAUUGGAGAGUUUGAUCCUGGCUCAGGACGAACGCUGGCGGCGUGCCUAAUACAUGCAAGUCGAGCGAGUCUGCCUUGAAGAUCGGAGUGCUUGCACUCUGUGAAACAAGAUACAGGCUAGCGGCGGACGGGUGAGUAACACGUGGGUAACCUGCCCAAGAGAUCGGGAUAACACCUGGAAACAGAUGCUAAUACCGGAUAACAACAGAUGAUGCCUAUCAACUGUUUAAAAGAUGGUUCUGCUAUCACUCUUGGAUGGACCUGCGGUGCAUUAGCUAGUUGGUAGGGUAACGGCCUACCAAGGCGAUGAUGCAUAGCCGAGUUGAGAGACUGAUCGGCCACAUUGGGACUGAGACACGGCCCAAACUCCUACGGGAGGCAGCAGUAGGGAAUCUUCCACAAUGGACGCAAGUCUGAUGGAGCAACGCCGCGUGAGUGAAGAAGGGUUUCGGCUCGUAAAGCUCUGUUGUUGGUGAAGAAGGACAGGGGUAGUAACUGACCUUUGUUUGACGGUAAUCAAUUAGAAAGUCACGGCUAACUACGUGCCAGCAGCCGCGGUAAUACGUAGGUGGCAAGCGUUGUCCGGAUUUAUUGGGCGUAAAGCGAGUGCAGGCGGCUCGAUAAGUCUGAUGUGAAAGCCUUCGGCUCAACCGGAGAAUUGCAUCAGAAACUGUCGAGCUUGAGUACAGAAGAGGAGAGUGGAACUCCAUGUGUAGCGGUGAAAUGCGUAGAUAUAUGGAAGAACACCGGUGGCGAAGGCGGCUCUCUGGUCUGUUACUGACGCUGAGGCUCGAAAGCAUGGGUAGCGAACAGGAUUAGAUACCCUGGUAGUCCAUGCCGUAAACGAUGAGUGCUAAGUGUUGGGAGGUUUCCGCCUCUCAGUGCUGCAGCUAACGCAUUAAGCACUCCGCCUGGGGAGUACGACCGCAAGGUUGAAACUCAAAGGAAUUGACGGGGGCCCGCACAAGCGGUGGAGCAUGUGGUUUAAUUGGAUUAAAC
rnacentral:rRNA from 1 species